GACGAACGCUGGCGGCGUGCUUAACACAUGCAAGUCGAACGCGCCUGUCCUCUGGGUUUCUGGGGGGUGGGUGAGUGGCGAACGGGUGAGUAACACGUGAGUAACCUGCCCCCUUCUUCGGGAUAACGGUCUGAAAGGGCUGCUAAUACCGGGUAUUCACUGGUCUCCGCAUGGGGUCUGGUGGAAAGGUUUUUUUCUGGUGGGGGAUGGGCUCGCGGCCUAUCAGCUUGUUGGUGGGGUGAUGGCCCACCAAGGCUUUGACGGGUAGCCGGCCUGAGAGGGUGACCGGUCACAUUGGGACUGAGAUACGGCCCAGACUCCUACGGGAGGCAGCAGUGGGGAAUAUUGCACAAUGGGCGCAAGCCUGAUGCAGCGCCGCCGCGUGAGGGAUGGAGGCCUUCGGGUUGUGAACCUCUUUCGCCCGUGGUCAAGCCGCGACGUGGGUCGUGGUGAGGGUAGUGGGUAAAGAAGCGCCGGCUAACUACGUG
rnacentral:rRNA from 1 species